UCUAGAUACAUGUUUACUUCA
rnacentral:piRNA from 1 species